UACGAAGGGGGCGAGCGUUGUUCGGAAUCACUGGGCGUAAAGGGUGCGUAGGCGGCCAACUAAGUCAGACGUGAAAUCCCUCGGCUUAACCGGGGAACUGCGUCUGAUACUGGAUGGCUUGAGUUCGGGAGAGGGAUGCGGAAUUCCAGGUGUAGCGGUGAAAUGCGUAGAUAUCUGGAGGAACACCGGUGGCGAAGGCGGCAUCCUGGACCGAUACUGACGCUGAUGAGCGAAAGCCAGGGGAGCAAACGGG
rnacentral:rRNA from 1 species